rnacentral:misc_RNA from 1 species
UUUCCGUAGGUGAACCUGCGGAAGGAUCAUUAUUGUAUAACCGAGGUGCGAGGGCUGUCGCUGACCCGAAAGGUCGUGCACGCCCGAGUGCCCUCACACACAUCCAUCUCACCCCUAUGUGCACCACCGCGUGGGUUCCCCUUUGGCUUGUUCGGAGGGGGGCUUACGUUUUCACACAAACUUUGUAUGCAGUGUAGAAUGUAUUUUUUGUUUUUGCGAUCACGCAAUCAAUACAACUUUCAACAACGGAUCUCUUGGCUCUC